GUACAAGCCCCUUCCCCCUAACAAGCAGCAGACUACCACCAGCAGCUCUUCUGAUACGCUGAACACCAGUCGAGACCCUGUGGAGAGAAAGGAUGGAUCCGUGGACCACCUGUACUACGCUCCGCAGGAUGCCGAGCCCAGCACAGACCUGGAUGCGUGCAGUGAUGAGGAAUACAAUUGUGAUGCGGAGGAGUUGCGCUACGCUGACGCCCCUUCUGGCUGGGAUGAACCCAGGCUGAACGAAGUCCCGCCCCUGUACGCCCCCAACCAGUACAAGCCCAAUGAUUACCAUGACAACGAGGAGGACCACCCCCCUGCCGCCGGUGCGACUCGUGGAGAGAGCUUUGUGUCCCAGGCCAUGUUUGUGUGAAGACAUUGGGAGACAUUGGAAGUGUGUGUGGGACUAAACCUGUUUGUACGUGAAGAACAUCGGACACUGGAUGUGUGUGUCUGUGGGAUAGCUGCGGUGUGUGGUGGUUGUAGUCAUUGCCAUCCAAUCAGUAUCUCCAAUCUAGAAUUUUACAUUGUGAACUAAAGUGAGUGAAUGUAUUGGGUUCUAAUAACGGGAAUCAUGUUUUUAAAAGGGGGAUCUGCUUUACCGUUAAAAUGCUGUGUAAGUAAGACACAACAUAAAAGAACACUAACUUUUAUUGGGGUUCGUUGAAACUCCUUUGAAUGUUGUGGUUAAAGUCCCAUGUGUACAGUAAGUGUGUGAGAUUGUUUAAUAGGCACAGAUCCAGGGCUAGCUGACCCUCUUUGAAUCUUAACCAUUACCAUUACGGGAUGACCUUGGAUCAGAUCAGUGUGUAUUGAUAGUUCCACUGUACUUUGGAAUGUAGAUGGGCUCUGGGGUCAGGAGACUGGUACAUUACUCUGAGCUAAAGGCAGUAGGAUGAUGUUGCCUAUAGACACUGUUGUAAGGUCAGUUGUGUGUUUUACUACCUAAGGAUUAUGUUUAAGGUUUUACAUAAUGUAAUCUGAUCCUAGAUCUGUGUCUAAAAUACAAUUCUGGAUUCCUGGAGCCCAAUACAAGCCAUAAGAGAGGGACAAUCAAUUGCCUGAACAAAAAUUUAACAAUGUAAGUUACUUACAAUCUUGUAUAUAUAAAAAGGAAAUCUCUGUUACCUUUUAACAUUGACGUGUCUAAACAUUGAUGAUUUGUGCCUGUUCGCUCAGGAUUUAAAAGCUCUAUUCACAUGCUCUACCACAGUAUGUUGGUUACAGAAUGUACUACGUAGGCCACUGUUGAAAUGUCCAAUAUUGUCAGGGUCUAGGUUUUUAUACAAUUUCAGGGUCUUCUUCUCUAUACAAUCACUUAAUUGUUAAACCAGAUGUGCCUAUUUUUGUCGCAUGUCAGAUUAUAAAAUGUGAAUCAAACAGAAUUCUGAAUGAUUUUGUCAUGCUUUGUAACAGAUUAAAUGUACCUGUUUUUACUGCGCUAUGUAUGUUUUUAAUAAAGCAAAGCCUGAUGCGCUGGUUACUUGAUGAUUCAUUAAACAUUUAAACUGUG